rnacentral:miRNA from 1 species
CUCGGGGCAGGCGGCUGGGAGCG